UGUGCGUACCAAAAAAACUAAACUUCAGCGAGUAUUUAAGUUCGCUUCGCAAUAUACUAUAUAUGUACUUUACUAAUUCAAAAUUUGUCUAAGCUCAACGAAGAAAAAAGCUCGCUUCCACAAGAAAAUUAAAUUGAAAUUGUUUUUUUCACUUAGGUUUUCUUUUAGUUGUUUAAUUUUUUUUCCGCGCCCUAGUCGCUUAUACACUAGACUUAUCUGUGAUCCGCUUGCACAAGCGUCCGCUUGCAAAUAAACAAAAAUACCCAGCUUCCAACUCGGCUUCGUUCACUCCACUACGUUCCGCCACGAACCUGUUUUUUUCCAGAACGCCUUCUAUUUAAAUCUA